GUUAAAAUUAACACCCCCCCCCCCCCCCCCCCCCCCCCCUAAUUUGUUUAAUUUUUUUCUUUUUUGCAACACGCCGAUUAUUACACCAAAAAAGGGGGUGCCCCCCCCCUCUCCCCCCGACCAGGUGGGGUUUAUAUUUACGAGGAAUCCCUAGUAAGCACAAGUCAUCAGCUUGUGCUGAUUACGUCCCUGCCCUUUGUACACACCGCCCGUCGCUACUACCGAUUGAAUGGCUUAGUGAGGCCCUCGGAUCGAUGCUCGGAGACUGGCAACAGUUUCCGUUCGUUGAGAAGUUGGUCAAACUUGGUCAUUUAAGAGGAAGUAAAAGUCGUAACAAGGUUUCCGUAGGUGAACCUGCGGAAGGAUCAUUAUUGAUUUAGCGAACCGAGCGUUAGCGAGGUUUUGCGAUCGUCUAUAUUUAAAACCCACUCUUGAAUGUAUAAAAUUUAUGUAUUAAGAUAAAAAUAAAGAUCACUUUCAACAACGGAUCUCUUUGCUCUCGCAUCGAUGAAGAACGUAGCGAAGUGCGAUAAGUAAUGUGAAUUGCAGAAUUCCGUGAAUCAUCGAAUCUUUGAACGCAAAUUGCACUUUCUGGUAUUCCGGAAAGUAUGCCUGUUUGAGGGUCAGUUAAAUAAAAAUCGGUGUUGUUGCUGCUUUUCGUGGUGACGCGUCGGAAUUGGGUCGUCUUAUCCUUCGGUUAAGUGACUUAAAAUUUUGUAUGAUUUCGAACGUAUUUAAAUUGCUUACGUACGUUUGAUAUCGAAUAUUUUAUUAGGUUCGAUCAUCCUCAUGACUCGCGCCUAUAAUUUUUCAUUAAAUGACCUCAAAUCAGGUAAGAAUACCCGCUGAACUUAAGCAUAUCAAUAAGCGGAGGAAAAGAAAAUAACAAUGAUUCCCUUAGUAACGGCGAGUGAAGAGGGAAAAGCUCAAAUUUUAAAUCUGCUAGGUUUUACUUAUCAGAAUUGUAAUUUGAAGAAGCGUUUUCCGCGUCUCGGUUGGCCCAAAUCCUUUGGGAUAAGGUAUCAUGGAGGGUGAGAAUCCCGUUCGGUUGACCUUAUGACGCUCUACGAUACGCUCUCUAAGAGUCGAGUUGUUUGGGAUUGCAGCUCAAAAUGGGAGGUAAAUUUCUCCUAAGGCUAAAUAUCGGCGAGAGACCGAUAGCGAACAAGUACCGUGAGGGAAAGAUGAAAAGAACUUUGAAAAGAGAGUAAAAUAGUACGUGAAAUUGUUGAAAGGGAAACGAUCGAAGUCAGUCGUACCGACGAGAAAUCAGCUUAUCGCGUGUGAACUUGUGGGCGUGCGUGAGUUUCGGCCUCGCUGUUUGCAUGUUUGUGCGUUUUGGGUGUACUUUUUCGUAUGGUUGGCCAACGUCAGUUUCGAUUACUAUAAAAUGACCGGCGGAAUGUAGCUUCGAUUUCGGUUGAAGUGUUAUAGCCUCUGGUAGAUGUGGUGAUUGGGACUGAGGAUCGCAACGAAUAUCCUUUGGGCUAUCCGUCUGAUCUCUGAAAGUUGCUCAGGUGCCGAAAGCGUGCUUACGGUCAUCUAAGUUGACGGUCAAUAGGUUAGAACGCGAUUACAUUCGUUAAGGACGUUGGCGUAAUGGCUUUAAACGACCCGUCUUGAAACACGGACCAAGGAGUCUAACAUGUA
rnacentral:sRNA from 1 species